UCCACAGUAGCUCAGUUGGUAGUAGCAUCUGACUGUUAAUCAGAGGGUCGCAGGUUCGAGUCCUGCCUGUGGAGUUGGAGUAGUACUCAAGAGGCUGAAGAGGCGCCCCUGCUAAGGGUGUAGGUCGGGAAACCGGCGCGAGGGUUCAAAUCCCUCCUGCUCCGUUUU
rnacentral:tRNA from 1 species